AACAACGAACUGUGAGAAGUCAGCAGAGGCCAUAGUAGCCGCGUGGGAGGUGGUGAAGGGC
rnacentral:ncRNA from 1 species